AGCGGAGGAAAAGAAACCAACCGGGAUUGCCUUAGUAACGGCGAGUGAAGCGGCAAAAGCUCAAAUUUGAAAUCUGGUACCUUCGGUGCCCGAGUUGUAAUUUGGAGAGGGCAACUUUGGGGCCGUUCCUUGUCUAUGUUCCUUGGAACAGGACGUCAUAGAGGGUGAGAAUCCCGUGUGGCGAGGAGUGCGGUUCUUUGUAAAGUGCCUUCGAAGAGUCGAGUUGUUUGGGAAUGCAGCUCUAAGUGGGUGGUAAAUUCCAUCUAAAGCUAAAUAUUGGCGAGAGACCGAUAGCGAACAAGUACAGUGAUGGAAAGAUGAAAAGAACUUUGAAAAGAGAGUGAAAAAGUACGUGAAAUUGUUGAAAGGGAAGGGCAUUUGAUCAGACAUGGUGUUUUGUGCCCUCUGCUCCUUGUGGGUAGGGGAAUCUCGCAUUUCACUGGGCCAGCAUCAGUUUUGGUGGCAGGAUAAAUCCAUAGGAAUG
rnacentral:rRNA from 1 species